UUUCUUAGCUUCAUAUUCCUAACCCUAAUAUUCAUAAUGGGUUUCAAAUCUCUAUUCAACAACAACGAUGCCUCCACCUCCUCCUUCCGUUCCACCUCCCUCUCCGUCCGCUCCCGGGCUCACCUCGCCGCGGAACUCGAACAAGUCUUCAAGAAAUUUGACGUCAACGGCGAUGGUAAGAUCUCGGCCUCGGAGCUUGGAUCCAUCAUGGGAUCCCUAGGCCAAAACCCAACCGAGCAAGAACUCGAUAAGCUGAUCCUUGAGGUCGACGGAGACGGCGAUGGCUGCAUCAACCUCCAAGAAUUCAUUGAGUUGAACACCAAGGGCGUUGAUUCUGAUGAAGUUCUAGAGAAUCUGAAGGGUGCAUUUUCUGUUUUUGAUAUCGAUGGUAACGGUUCGAUAACUGCUGAUGAGCUCAACACCGUGAUGAGGAGCCUUGGGGAAGAAUGCUCCGUUGCCGAGUGCCGGAGAAUGAUUGCCGGCGUUGAUAGCGACGGCGAUGGGAUGAUUGAUUUUGAGGAGUUUAAGGUUAUGAUGAUGAUGGGUUCGAGGCAUGAUACCACAGAUAGGGUUAAACCUCAACCUGAGAUGUAAUGCACAAUUUCACAUUGUUAUUUGGAUCUGUUUAUCGUUAUUGCGUUACGCUUCUUUUUCCUUCUUUUUUUUUUUGUAACAUAAAAUGUAAUUGAGGUUGAUGGGUUGGAUUGAUUUUUAUGUUCAUGUUUAUGGUUUCAAUGUGUAUGACUUACGUAAAUUUAUUGUUCCUUUUUAUAUUAUAUUUAUAUGGAGAAUGUUUUCCUCAAACAAAGAAAGAGAUUCUUCUUCAGUUUUCUCUAAGGAUGUGAUAUUCUAAGAUGACAUCAUUGAUCUAAUUAGUACUGUUCCAUUGGAGAUUGGAAUGGAAUAUUGCUUCUAAUGAAUGAUUAUUUAGCAUUCGUCUGUGGAAAAAUAGCUUCUACAGAGAAAAUUCGUUUGGUUUAUAUGCAUGUUAGAGGAAUUGAAUUAUAUUGUUAUCUAUCUACUAUCUAGUGUAACCACAUACCAAUUUAAGAUAUUGAAUUUACCAGAUUUAAAACGUAUAAUGUAUGUUAAUAUUAAUACAUAACCAGUCUAAUUUGUCUUUAUAUGUUAUAACCAAUCUAAUUGGUGAGCCCCAUAUAAUCUUCAUGUCAAUUUUGCAUAUACUAAAUUUUAUAAAAUUGAAAGAAUUACAAAUAGAGUAAUAAUGUUACCAUACUUUUUCGCCUCUUUUUAAACAUAUUUAAUCAUUAUGCGUUACUUUAUUUUCCCCAAAAAUAUUAAAAUUUAAAAGUAGGUGUUAAAUAUGAUUUUGAGGAAAAUGGUGUGCAUUGAUUAUUUUCCUUAUUCAUGGAGUAGAGAUAAAAUUUAAAUAAUAUUUUCUUAAGAUAAGAUGUAGCAUCAACUAUAUAUAAAAGAUAUUUUUAGCCAUUACUACAUUCAUGAGUGAUUUAAUCCUAGCACAUGAAUUAGGCGAGUGAGUCUCGUUGCAACGAUAAGGUUAUUGCUUAAUAACCAUGAGAUUGCGAGUUCAAAUCAUAGAACCUCCACAUGUAAAAGAAAGGUUGUGCAUAUCUACUCUUUGUAGGAGCUCUCUUGCAGUGAGCUGAAUUAGGCUAAUGCUAUUCUAUUAGCUGAGUUCAACCCAAAUCCUAAGAUUUGAUGUGUAUAAGUGGUGAAUAUUUCUGAUCUUAGGUUAAUGCAUAAGUUUGCAGUUGAGACAUUCUAUACUAAAAUUAUAAACAACAUUGGAUGAAAAGCAUCCACCACAAGCUGUCUUGAUAACAGAAAAAAUAAAAGUAGAAAGAAUAAACCAUAAAAUAUAGCAAGCAAAUUAUACAUUUGGGUAAUCAUAUAUAGCAGUCCAAUUUCACAGCAGCAACAUAUCAAGAGUAAGUAGUUAAUUAAUAGAAGUAAUAGGAACAUCCUUGAAUGCCCAAUCAAAUAAUUUCAGGAGAAAAUCAAGCACUCACUAAGCAAACUUUGGUCAUUUGACCCAAAAAUUGAUUCAAAAAGGAUUAAUAUGAACAAAAGGUGUAAGGUUUGAAAUCAUCUUACUGAUCUAAUGUAAAACAUCAAAUCUUAGUUUUUAUGGUCCCCUUACAAGUAUAACUAUGGAAAAGCUCACAUUAUUUGAGAUUUAACGUAAAGAUGUGUUUGGAGGCUAUGUACUAUUAUUUCAAUAAUUGGGUCUAAUUCUACCCAAAAUUCAACUCAACCGCAAACAUGUAUCACAAAUUCAGUUAACAUAAUUCCAUCCCUAUCUUCUAAAAUGCUGGGACCAAAUACUAUACAAAUUCACCCAUGUAGUCUUUCACUCUUUCUUUUCUAACACGGUGGAGCAACUGAUAAAACAAUAAUGUUUUUUUUUUGUGGACAAUAAAAAUCGUGCACCAAUUUGGAAAACAUCCAUUUUUAAUAAGAAAGAAGAAGAAAAAAAAGAAAAUGUGAGUUUCUUGCUUCUUUUCAAAAAAAAUGAAUGUUGUUUCCUUUGUUGUUUUUUAUCAGCAUAUAAGAUUUUAUACAUAUAAUAUUCUGAGUUUGUAUAUCUCCUAAAACCUACAAAAAAUGUGUUGGUCUAGCGGUGUAAAGAUUCUAUUGAAUUACUAGGAUGACCAAAAUGUUAAUGAUUCGAUUUUUAGGAGUGACACUUGUUAGGAGAUGCAAUCACAUAUCCGAAAAAGAUUAGUUUCUUACCAAAAGGGUGAUAAAUAGUCUUUUGCAGUACAAAAAAAUCUCCUAAAACCUACCAAGUACACCAUUUAGUUACAUAUGUUUGUGUCCAUGCUUGAUAUCAAACCAAACAUAAUUAUCUAAAGUCGGAAAUCCAAAUUCACUAACCAUACUUGGAUAAUUACUCAUCACUUUUCUAAAACAUGUAUAGAGUUAGUAAUAACAUUAUUUUUUGCACUAAAAUAGUAUGAAAUAAUGGGAUUAACUAAUUUCUAACAUCCCUCAUCAACUGCCAUGCUGCAAUAACGCCAAAAUUUUCCAAAAAAGGUAAAGACCUCUCCAAAUAUAUGCAAAAUCACACAUUUCACAAACAUGAGAAAUAAAAAGAUUUGAAAAUCUCUUGAUUCAUUCAUUUUUACCAACCCAACCUCAUCAUCAUUCAUAUACAACGUUAAAACCUUUUUUUUUUCUUUCUUUCAUUUUCUUAGCUUCAUAUUCCUAACCCUAAUAUUCAUAAUGGGUUUCAAAUCUCUAUUCAACAACAACGAUGCCUCCACCUCCUCCUUCCGUUCCACCUCCCUCUCCGUCCGCUCCCGGGCUCACCUCGCCGCGGAACUCGAACAAGUCUUCAAGAAAUUUGACGUCAACGGCGAUGGUAAGAUCUCGGCCUCGGAGCUUGGAUCCAUCAUG
rnacentral:lncRNA from 1 species